CUGAACAAUGGCUUGGACUCAAAUGCAGACAGACUCAGUUGGCAAGUUCAAAAAUCAGUCCUUUAAUCACAGCUGGGUCAGUACACAGGUGAUCAGUCAGCAAAACAAAAUAUCCAAAUCAGUAGGCUAAAGAACGCUGGAGCGCUGUCACACAGGAAACAAGACGAACUGGCACAGAAGGAAGGGAACACUGAGACUAUAUACUCUGGUGGAGAGGAGACAAUGAGACACAGGUGCAACACAUCAGGGCAGGGCAGGUAAUCACACAAGAGGGAGACACACGAGGGCAGGAAGUUAAGGACCUGAAACGAGACAAGAGAAGAGGAGAACUCAGUGAGCUUCAUAAUCAGCUGCUGUCUUAGUUCUUCAAGGGAGCAUCUCGUCACUGGCCCAGGAGAGCAGCCAUCAGUCACUUCCAAUGCUGCGUUCAAGAUCCGCUCUGUCAGUUACAGGCUACCCUGCCGUCCUAGAUGAAGUGAUCGCCAGAGCCGGACGUCACGCUGCACCUGCUGUUUUCUCCUCUCUGCCAGGGGGUAUCAGUGGGGGUUUAUCCGUCUUGGUGGAGGUGCAGAUGGCCAACAGAACGAAAUGCCUCAUGUGCCUCUGUUUGCAAAACCACUGAGUCACACAAUGUGAUUCACAAAUGACUGACUAUGAUUUCUUCUUUGCCAAAGGAAACAUCUAGACUAAAAAACAAAGAGAUACAGCAUCUGUUCAUCUCAUGGUCUGCCUGUUGAAAUACUUGAACACAUCUAUUAGAAUAACAAACAUUUUAUAUCUGACCCAUGUGACCUGAGAUUGGCUUUUCAGUCUCAUUUCAGCUGACCUAACUGAACACAUUAUAGACUAUACAGUAAGCCACUUUGAGUGUAGGCCUCCACCAGCACCAUGUGGUUUUGAAGAUAUCCACAAAUCAACUUUUGUCCAAACGAUAAUAAUUCAUUGUGUUUCAUUAUCUUCUUUUUUUAAGACAGAGAGAGAUAGAUAAAGUAUGUGCAAUUUCAAGCCACUUAAAGCCGCCCUUAUUAAUAUUUUUACAUUAAUGAUAGCCUGAAAUGACAUUUCAGUCAUUUGACCUGCUCAUAGAAGCAAACCCACAGAGAAGCAUCAGCCAAGCUUUCAUGGUUUUGAUUUUAUGGCCUGAAAUGUUACUGUUUUGCUUCAGUCUCUAUGCUGUCAUCGACUUUGUUAUCAGCAAAAAAGUAGUAAUAAACCCACUGUAUGCUACCUGCCCAGCACCAAAUUGCACAGAGGUAGUGAAUUUAGUGGACCAUUUAUCAGCUAAAGAGACAAAUACUUCCUCAGGAGAUGGCAGAGACCAAAGCAGCUAAAAUGAGAGUAAUUCUGGAUUCACCCUCAUAACAUGACAAAAAACACUAAAUGAAUGCAAAUGUUGCUUUUGUUUGCUGACCUAUUCACCAUGUAUCAACUUUGCAAGACAUAUCUCAAUAUUGUAUUUAUA